rnacentral:rRNA from 1 species
AUGGCGACGUCGUCCCCGGCGCCGCCCCGCGUGUGCGUCACCGGCGGCAACGGGUUCAUAGGCUCGUGGCUCGUCAAGCUGCUCCUCUCCCGCGGCUACGCCGUCCACGCCACCGUCCGCGACCCACGUGAUCCGAAGAACGCGUUCCUGACGGAGCUGGACGGAGCCCCGGCGAACCUGCGGCUGUUCAAGGCGGACAUGCUCGACUGCGACACGGUCGCGGCCGCGUUCGCCGGCUGCGAGGGCGUCUUCCAUGUCGCCACUCCAGUGCCCGACCAAAAGAUGGUUGAUCCACAGAAAGAGAUGAUGGAACCUGCUGUCAAGGGCACCAUGAAUGUGCUCAAGGCCUGCUCAGCUACGAAAGUUCAUAAACUCAUUGUGGUCUCGUCCAUCGCCACUAAUAUCUUCAACCCGGACUGGCCUCGAGAUAAAAUCAAAGACGAGAGCUGCUGGUCAGACAAGGAGUUCUGCAGACAGACUGAGAACUGGUACUCUCUUGCAAAGACUGAAGCCGAGGAGAUGGCCCUGGAAUACGGAGAGAAGAACGGGCUGCACGUCGUCGCACUUUGCCCUGGUCUGGUCUUCGGCCCUCUGUUGCAGCAUGUGGCGGUUAAUACCAGCAGCAAGGUCCUCGUCUACAUGAUAAAAGAUUCCACUCCUCAGCUCAUCUAUCACAAGGAUACAUAA